AAUCAACGCUGGCGGCAUGCCUAACACAUGCAAGUCGAGCGAGAAAGGGUAGCAAUACCUGAGUAAAGCGGCGCACGGGUGAGUAACACGUGGAUAACCUGCCUCAAAGUGGGGAAUAACACCGGGAAACCGGUGCUAAUACCGCAUAUUCUGACGAGAUCUGUGGAUUUUGCCAGGAAAGGAGCAAUUCGCUAUGAGAGGGGUCCGCGGCUGAUUAGCUAGNGGUGAGGUAACGGCUCACCAAGGCCACGAUCAGUAGCCGGUCUGAGAGGACGGUCGGCCACACUGGACUGAGACACGGUCCAGACUCCUACGGGAGGCAGCAGUGGGGAAUUUUUCGCAAUGGGGGCAACCCUGACGAAGCAAUGCCGCGUGG
rnacentral:rRNA from 1 species